rfam:Salmo salar isolate Sally breed double haploid chromosome ssa23, whole genome shotgun sequence.
UGGCUCAGUUGGUAGAGCAUGGUGUUUGCAACGCCAGGGUUGUGAGUUCGAUUCCCAC